rnacentral:rRNA from 1 species
GUGGGGAAUAUUGGGCAAUGGGGGAAACCCUGACCCAGCAACGCCGCGUGAAGGAAGAAGGUUUUCGGAUCGUAAACUUCUAUCCUUGGUGAAGAUAAUGACGGUAGCCAAGAAGAAAGCCCCGGCUAACUACGUGCCAGCAGCCGCGGUAAUACGUAGGGGGCAAGCGUUGUCCGGAAUGAUUGGGCGUAAAGGGCGCGUAGGCGGCCUGGUAAGUCUGGAGUGAAAGUCCUGCUUUUAAGGUGGGAAUUGCUUUGGAUACUGUCGGGCUUGAGUGCAGGAGAGGUAAGCGGAAUUCCCGGUGUAGCGGUGAAAUGCGUAGAGAUCGGGAGGAACACCAGUGGCGAAGGCGGCUUACUGGACUGUAACUGACGCUGAGGCGCGAAAGUGUGGGGAGCAAACAGGAUUAGAAACCCCAGUAGUCC